rnacentral:rRNA from 1 species
UACGUAGGGUGCGAGCGUUAAUCGGAAUUACUGGGCGUAAAGCGUGCGCAGGCGGUUUUGUAAGCCAGAUGUGAAAUCCCCGGGCUUAACCUGGGAAUGGCAUUUGGGACUGCAAGGCUUGAGUGCGGCAGAGGAGACUGGAAUUCCUGGUGUAGCAGUGAAAUGCGUAGAUAUCAGGAGGAACACCGAUGGCGAAGGCAGGUCUCUGGGCUGACACUGACGCUCAUGCACGAAAGCGUGGGGAGCGAAACAACGGUUGAUGAAACCCAGAAA